UUGCGUUCAGUAAUCUCUUAGGCCCAAUAUUCUUCUUGGGAUUUGUGGUAAAAGACUGAAUCCUCCUAUAAAUACUCCCAUCCUCAUCUUUCUCCUUCCUAUGCCUAUGCGCUGCAACAAAGCCCAUCUCUUUUCUCUUCCCACUUCCACUCCCACUCCCACAAAAAUCUUGCUUUCUUGCUUUCUUGCUUUCUUUUUUGCCUUCCUUGUAUGGUUUUUAGAUUUAUCUCCUGUGCCUAUACGUGUUUAUGCAUAUAUGAAUGACCCUCUUCGUAUUCUUCCACAGCUUUCUUGAACUGCAUCUACUACAAACUUGGUGGUUGUUGCAUGCCACGGUUGGCAGGCCAAGCGGCUUAUUGUUUUUGUUUUGUUGCGGUUCAAUAAAGCUGUGGGAAGAUACUGACAGGGUCAAGGAUGGAAUUUGUGCUCCUUGUCCGAUUCCAUGUACUGUGUUCUUCUUGGUAUACUUCGAUCUAAUCCCCUUUAUAUUCAUUGUUAGAUUUCUUAUAAUUUUAUCUAUAUGAUUUAUUUAAUUUUGUUUGAUUUCUUGGAUCUGUUGAUUUUACUUUUCUUGAUUGAUUCUUAAUCAGGAGAUUAUGCUGGUAUCGAAUUUGAAUAUUAACAUGAAUUUUCCAGAUUCCUCUUCUUCAUUAAUCCUUCUUUUUUGGAUAUUUUUUUUCCUUUUGCAUAUCUGCAUAGUGUGUGUUUACAGAAUGUGCCCUCCAAAGGAGUCUAUACAUAAAAAGAAAGAAUCAGUCUCUAAGGUGUUUCUAAAGUUGUGGAUCUUCAAAUUGAUUGCUGUUUAAUCCAUUGAAAAGCUAAGAUAGAGCACUUCAAAUGAUAAAGAGGGACUAAAGCCCAAAUCAGUCUCCAAGGUUGACAAAAUGAGUUAUGAAUCUAUUGCAAAAGCUUACACUUGAUUGUCACGACUAGUUUCAAUAUUUAUUUUGUAUCUGGAGUUCCAGAGGUCCAAAUGAAGCAAGCCCAAGCCCAAUUGAACCUUAAGAGUCACCUCUACAACUUCUAUGAAGGGCUGGAAGCAAGAUAAGGCCAUUUUAAUUUUCAAAAAUAGCAAUGAAGUAGUCACUAUGGGCUGGACCGUCUGUCUAAACCAGUCCCGAUUUUUAGGCCAUAACUUGGGUUGUAGACCUCAGAUUUGGGCAAAUGAGAACCCGUUGGAAAGCAAAGAAAUAGGGCUACAACUUUCCUAAAGAGGGCAGAGACAGAUUCGGAAAGAAAGUUACUGAAAAUCGGCCUUGAUUUCAGAGACGUGAAUACAGGCUGAAAAUCUAUCUUUUGAAUUUCAAAACUUUUCCUAGUUUGGUUUCUAUCUUUGGGAUUAGGUUUUUUUUAUUAUAAAUACGUCUUUGGGCAGCAGCUAAAACACAUCCAAUUCAGACCUUCAUUCUCCAUAAAAGACCUUCGUUCUCCAUUCUCUUUUUUGAUUUAUUCUUUAUUUUUCUGUAAGCCAUGAAUAUGAGUGGCUAAGUUCUUAAUUCAGUUCAAGGGAUUCUAGUUCUUAUGCAUGAUUUGUGAGAUCAGGUUCUUAAUUUAAUUUAUGUCUUUUUGAAUAUCUAUUGUUUUCUUAUUUCGUUGUCU